rnacentral:rRNA from 1 species
GACGAACGCUGGCGGCGUGCUUAACACAUGCAAGUCGAACGGAAAGGCCCUGCUUUUGUGGGGUGCUCGAGUGGCGAACGGGUGAGUAACACGUGAGUAACCUGCCCUUGACUUUGGGAUAACUUCAGGAAACUGGGGCUAAUACCGGAUAGGAGCUCCUGCUGCAUGGUGGGGGUUGGAAAGUUCCGGCGGUUGGGGAUGGACUCGCGGCUUAUCAGCUUGUUGGUGGGGUAGUGGCUUACCAAGGCUUUGACGGGUAGCCGGCCUGAGAGGGUGACCGGCCACAUUGGGACUGAGAUACGGCCCAGACUCCUACGGGAGGCAGCAGUGGGGAAUAUUGCACAAUGGGCGGAAGCCUGAUGCAGCAACGCCGCGUGCGGGAUGACGGCCUUCGGGUUGUAAACCGCUUUCGCCUGUGACGAAGCGUGAGUGACGGUAAUGGGUAAAGAAGCACCGGCUAACUACGUGCCAGCAGCCGCGGUGAUACGUAGGGUGCGAGCGUUGUCCGGAUUUAUUGGGCGUAAAGGGCUCGUAGGUGGUUGAUCGCGUCGGAAGUGUAAUCUUGGGGCUUAACCCUGAGCGUGCUUUCGAUACGGGUUGACUUGAGGAAGGUAGGGGAGAAUGGAAUUCCUGGUGGAGCGGUGGAGUGCGCAGAUAUCAGGAGGAACACCAGUGGCGAAGGCGGUUCUCUGGGCCUUUCCUGACGCUGAGGAGCGAAAGCGUGGGGAGCGAACAGGCUUAGAUACCCUGGUAGUCCACGCUGUAAACGGUGGGUACUAGGUGUGGGGUCCAUUCCACGGGUUCCGUGCCGUAGCUAACGCUUUAAGUACCCCGCCUGGGGAGUACGGCCGCAAGGCUAAAACUCAAAGGAAUUGACGGGGCCCCGCACAAGCGGCGGAGCAUGCGGAUUAAUUCGAUGCAACGCGUAGAACCUUACCUGGGUUUGACAUGGAUCGGGAGUGCUCAGAGAUGGGUGUGCCUCUUUUGGGGUCGGUUCACAGGUGGUGCAUGCCUGUCGUCAGCUCGUGUCGUGAGAUGUUGGGUUAAGUCCCGCAACGAGCGCAACCCUUGUUCACUGUUGCCAGCACGUUAUGGUGGGGACUCAGUGGAGACCGCCGGGGUCAACUCGGAGAAAGGUGGGGAUGACGUCAAGUCCUCAUGCCCCUUAUGUCCAGGGCUUCACGCAUGCUACAAUGGCUGGUACAGAGAGUGGCGAGCCUGUGAGGGUGAGCGAAUCUCGGAAAGCCGGUCUCAGUUCGGAUUGGGGUCUGCAACUCGACCUCAUGAAGUCGGAGUCGCUAGUAAUCGCAGAUCAGCAACGCUGCGGUGAAUACGUUCCCGGG